ACCAGUCUGACGGGGUUCAUGUUUAUAACAGUAGCUUGGUGGAGUAGACUCAUUUAGACCAAAAUAUUAAUUUGGUUUAAGCCAGGUUUCAGUCAAACAAAGUACAUCAAAACUAUUAUCUGUGAUCAUUUCAUUUACAAUAACUGCUUUGGGUGCGAGUGAUCUAAUGUUUAGGACCCCAAGCUUUAGAAAUUGUUUUUGUUCAUUUAUUUUGCAUUUUUCAGGUUUAAUCACGAUCAGAUUUUUUCUAGAUCCUACAUUAAAUUUAUAUGUUGACCUCACUAUUCGGGGAACAGAUACAGUCUGUAUAGAUUGGACAACGCAAGUACUUCUGUCAUUUAGGAGGGUAGAGCAAAAGCCAUCAUAGCAGUUAUUUGAGAAUUGGUUUACUAGUCAUAUGGAGCGUAGCGUCCUGGAGAUGUUGUCUGACAGGAGUUCCGCUCCGACUCUGCUCGGGUGCAGGCCAUCAGCACGGAAAAGCCUAGAACGCUCCCAGAAAAGAUUUAAAUUAUUAACAAAGAGCAGUUUCUGUUCUUUGCACCAUGACAAUAACCAUUCAUUUAAAGCAAAAAGUCUACUGAACCUUUCGUGUCCUCGUCGAUACGUGGGAAGCGGUCCUGACACGAUGAUCGUCGUCGCGGGCGAUGUGCUGCGUACCGUCUCGAUCAGGCUCCUGAAGUCCCUCUUCAGUGUCUCUGUCUGCCGCAGCUUGGUGUUGUUAACCCCCGCGUGCAGCACGACAGCGCCGAUGCUCUCGUCGCCCUUCAGGAUCACGGGUAUCUGCGCAGAAACAUCGAGAACACGAGCACCAGGGAAACAAUAAGUGUGCACUUUACCUUCAGCUAACGACUGUAGCACGGAUGUCCCGGACGAUGGAGUCUCCGAUGAUCACAGCAUCACAUUCCGUCUCGUGGAGGGGAGUGAAGUGGUUCCGGGUGGAGAUCUGGGGCCUGGCUCGCGUCUUCCGCUGCUGGUGCACCCAGGGUCCGUCGUGUCCCGGCGCCGGAGUGAAGGACAUCUGGGAAGAUCGCGUCCUGGGUGCGCGGGGCCUGUGCAGAGAAACACACGGAGUAAAGGUGGUGGACUGAAUGCAGCUCGAACGCAUAUCACAAAUAGCUCACUACAGCCAGCGGCCUGGAGAAAGAGCUCACCUUUGGCCUGUGUGAUCGUCCAGCUGUGUGUUUUGUUUUGGCUGCUGUCCAUCUGCACUUUUAAUCCCAUCAAACAGAGCUGCGCGUGUGUUAUAUAAUAACAUGGAGAUGUAAAAGAUGGAGAAGCGAACGAUGAGAGGCACCAGCUGCUGAACCCAGAUCCUCUGUCUUCAUCGAGCUGACCUGUCCACGGCCAUCCAGCGACACCAG